CAGGAUACAAGAUCAUUUUUCAAAUUACAAAAAAUAAAAAAGAAAACCAAACAAAAACAAAAACCAUCAUUUAUUAUUAAAGUCAAAAAUACUUUAAUGAAGGUGCUAAUGGUUUCUAACAUUGCUAUUAAUAGCAUAAAUUUGUAUAUGUUAAGUACUGAAGCAUUUUAAAAUCUAUUAUCUUAUGUGACUCUUAUAAUAAUCCUAUGAAGCAGGGCAAAUAAUAAUUGCAUUUCACAGCUAUUUACAGAGAACAUAAAUGAUUUCCCCAAGUCUGCAGUUAGCAAGCAACUAGGACCAGAUCCAGAGUUUCUCAAUAACCGGUCCAUUAAUUCCCAGAUGUUAACCAACAGGGCAAUGCUGGCCCAUAACAAAUGAAAAAACAAGGAUAGAAUAAAGAAGUAUCAAGACAAAUAACUUCAAUUCUUUUAUUGAAGAGACUGCAACUUUACUGCAUUUUGGGAUUUAAAAUACUCUUUGUUAGACUCCUUACUGCCUUAACGGACUACGUUGAUGUUGGAAGCACCCAUCAUCCCGAACACAGAUAAAUGUAGGAUAAAAUAUAACAGGAACAUUUGAAAUAUACAACUAAGCACUAAAACAAGAAAUUAAAAUCCUCAGGUGCCAGAAAUGGAGAGAACACAAACAAGCAAUGAGCAAGAGGUGAGACUAAAUAAGCAAUUGCAGAGUUGGAAUCAGAGGAUGAACUUGUGGGCUGAGAUUUUAAUGCCUGAGCUGGAAUGGGAAUGGAAGCCCCAGGUGCAGUGGAGUUGGAGCUGUGCAAAGAGCCAGGAUCCUAGAAGAGCUUUGCUGCUGUGAAAAUAAUUCUGGGUUAUCUCCUCCCAUUAGCCUGGGAAUUAGGGGAGGUAGUAGAUUCAUUACCACCUAGAUGACACACCUACCAAACUGAGCUAUGCACAGGAGUGGGGUCCAGUGUGUAUUCAUGAGAAGGAAAUGCAAACCAAGAAAGCAACAGAAAUACUGGUUUGAACCAGGAAACUUGAAGAACCCUGUUAAAAACAAACAAGAAAUUGCCCCAUAGUGACAAUUAAUAAGCCUGCACACACGAGACAAUGUGGAAAAAAAUCCCAAGAUGAGAUGGUUAAAAACAAAAACACAAGAGGAAAGAACAAAAACUUCCCAGGAAAGGAGUUAGCAGAACUCAUAUGCCAAGAAUUACAGACAAUAGAACAGAUAGACUAUAUAAAGUAAGUAUACUUAAAAUGACUCAAGACAUAAGAGAAUACAAAGUAUACAGAAACCUCUUGCUUCUGCUCUCACCAUGUGAUAUGCUGGCUCUGCCUUUGCCUUUGCCUUCUGCCAUAAUUGUAAACUUCCUGAGGCCUCACUAAAGCCAAGCAGAUGCCAGUGCUGUGCUUCCUGAACAGCCUGCAGAACCAUGAGCCAAUUAAACCUCAUUUCUUUAUAAAUUAAACAAAAAGUAUACAGAAAGACCAGAACACCAUAAAAAUAGGCACAUUUGGGAGGGAAGCUAUAGAGAUUCUACAGUUUAAAAUGUCUAAUUUUUAAAAAACUUAAUUCAGUAGAUUAAACAUAGCUUAAGAGAAAAUCAGUAAAUUGGAAGAUAGGACUGAAGAAAUCUCACAAAAUGCAACACAAAAAGAUUUUUAAAAUAUUAAUAGGAAGACAGAGAAUAGAAUGUUAUUAAGAGUUCCAGAAGGAUAUUAUACAAGGAACAUGAGAAAAAAUUUGAAACGAAAAUGGCUAUGAUAGAGACUACUACUUGUUUCCCAAUAGCCAGUCAUUACCUCUGUCUUACUAAUAAAAUCACCCAUUUUUAGCUGGAAAUUUGGCUGACCAGAAUAAAGACAGUAUUUCCCAGCUUCCCUUGUAGCUG
rnacentral:lncRNA from 10 species